AACAUUAAUCCUUGUGCCCACCCACCAAAAUGGCUCCUUUAUGGGGCAAUUCUAGGUGUUUGACGUGAAGUUAUUUACACACCUGGAAUUAAGCCUUCAUUGAGAUAAGUUGUAGAUGUCUUUCUGUGCACCGUGUGCGUGAAACAGAUCAAGAAAGAGUGCGUGUUCUAUAGCAGUGAAGAAUCGAUCGAGUUCCUGAAGAAAAAAUUAUACAGGACGGCCGGUUGGUGUAAUAGUUCGCUUGCUGAACAAAAAUCUGUACAGACUUGAUAUACAAUGACCAAAGGGAAAAAUAUUGGUUUUUAAUAACUACAAAAUAAAUGAAUAAGAGAAACUACUAAUAGUGGUACUUAAAAAUGUCCUGAGUAAAGUUUGAUGAAAAGAUUUUUAUUUUCACACUUAAUUAUAUAAAUGAUAUAAUCAAAUUAAGCUUUAAAAAUGGCAAGAAAAAGUGAUAAUAUCAAAACCAUCAAUGUUGCUAUUGUUGGUCUUUCUGGUACAGAGAAAGAUAAGGGGCAAGUUGGUGUGGGAAAAUCAUGUCUGUGUAAUCGUUUUAUGCGUUCUUUGAACGAUGAUUAUAAUGUGGACCAUAUAUCAGUGUUAUCACAGUCAGAUUUUAGUGGUCGGGUGGUGAAUAAUGAUCAUUUCCUAUAUUGGGGUGAAGUUACAAAAACAGCAGAAGAUGGAACAGAAUAUCAAUUUCAAGUAAUAGAACAUACAGAAUUUAUAGAUGAUGCAUCUUUUCAACCUUUUAAAGGUGGUAAAAUGGAACCUUAUGCAAAAAGAUGUGCAGCCACAAAAAUUACUAGUGCAGAAAAGCUUAUGUAUAUUUGCAAAAAUCAAUUAGGCAUAGAAAAAGAAUAUGAACAAAAAGUUUUACCAGAUGGUAAAUUAAACAUUGAUGGCUUUUUGUGUGUAUUUGAUGUAAGUGUUGUACCAAAUAGAUCUAUAGAAAAACAGGUUGAAAUAGUAGCAAAUAUAUUGAAUAAUUUAAUGAAAACUAAAAAACCAAUAGUUUUGGUAACAACCAAAAAUGAUGAUGCUAAUGAACAAUAUGUAAAAGAAGCUGAAAAAUUAGUGAUGCGUAAAGAAUACAAAGGUUCCAUAUUAAUAAUUGAAACAUCUGCACAUGAAAAUAUAAAUAUUGAUUUGGCAUUUAUGAUUUUGGCUCAAUUGAUUGAUAAAACCAAAAUGCGAAGUAAAGUUAUUCCAUUUGCGGAAGCGGCAAGAGCUAGAAAGGAAUUAUUAGAUGCAUCAACAGAAUCUUUACAAAGAUUGAUUCGAAUACAUGUUACUGAUUAUAGAGCAUUGUGGUCUCAAGCAUCUAAAAAAUUAGCUCAACACAAAGAAUUUUCAACAUUUGUUGAAUUAUUUGGUAUUGAUGCAACUCAAAGAUUAUUUAGGAGACAUAUUAAAAAAUUGAAAGAUGAACAAGUAGCAAAAAAAAUCCAAGGAUAUUUGGAUAUGUUACCUGAUAUUCUUCAUGAAAUAUGUCCUGAUAUAACAAAUUUGAUCAAUGAAGAAUGGUCUGCAGUACAACAAUAUAUAAAAGAACAUCCUGAUUUUCAUCAAUAUUUCUAUGAAUGUCCUGAGGAUAUCCCAUGGAUUGAUUGUGAUUUUGGUGAAAACAAUGGAACAAAAAUUCCUUAUGAUGUCUUAGAAACACCAGAAGCUGAAACUGUUUUCAAAAAUCAUAUAAAUGUAUUGCAACAGGAACAGCGGCGAUUAGAACUUCCUAAAAGAUGGAAAAAACAGUUUAAACAGUUAUUGGAAGAAACUGGUUAUGUUACACCUGGAAAACAUUUAUCUGAAGUUAGAGUUCUUUUUAUGGGUAGAGAAUGUUUUGAAGCUCUUUCUCACCAUGAUUGUCAAGAAAUAUAUGAUCAACAUCAAAAAGAAAUUAUUGAAAAAGCAAAACAUAAUUUCCAGGAACUAUUGCUAGAACAUGCUGAUUUAUUCUAUCAUUUCAAAAGUAUAGCACCAUCUGGUACUAUAACACAAGAUGAUAUUAAAGAAAUUACAGAUGCAUUAGUGGAUGAUUUUAGAUAUAAAGCCUUAGAUAGAUUAGAUCAAGAUAGAAAAUUAAUGCUAUUUCAACAUUUGGGUUUUGUACAUUGUCCUAUAAGAGAACAUUGUCCAGCUUAUCCAAAUUGUAUGGAUGCACUUAUAGAACGAAUACUUGGAACAAAAGCUCACAGACCUUCUUCAUGGAAUCACAGUAGUCAGUGGCAAUUAACAUCUGAUAAUAAUCAAUUAAAUUUAGUUAUACUUGGAAGCAAUGGACUUGGUGAGGAAUUCGCUCGUGAAAUAAGAGCACAAACAGAAGAUGAUGAAGUAGAAAUUGAUUGUCAGUUGUAUACGCUUGGAUAUCGAAUAAUCGAUGGUGAUGUUGGAUUACCACAUAAUUCAUUUACUACUUCAGACUUCAUGCCUCAUGGUUCAUUUUGUAUUUAUGCAAAUGAGGAUUCAUUUGAAUAUAUUCGUUCUUCUUUAGAAAAAACUUUAUUGUCGAAUUUAGAACAAGAAGAUAGAUUACCAUUUCAAGGAUUACCUAUUGUUAUUAUGUUUGUACCAGAGUCAACAAUAGAUGAAAUGGAAGCAAUACGACUUAGGAAAGAGGGUCAAAAUCUUGCUGAUAGUUUGCAGUGUCCAUUUAUUGAUGUUUGCAUAGAAGAUUUGGAGCAAGAUAAAAGAUUUCCUACUUUACUUGUGAAAGAUGCAUUACAGCAACUUAUACAAUCUAUAAAUCACAGAGCUGGUUUUUUAAAUAUUUACCAAAGUGUUAUUGAAUGUUUAGAACCAGAUAUUAGAAUAAUAAUGUGUAUGUUCUGUGGAGAUCCAUACUCUGUGGAAAACGUACUUGGUCCCUUACUCAAUCAUCAAUGUUGUUUUCUUAGUGGUGAUCGAUCGAUUGUUUUAGAAACAUUUCUAGGAGAAUCGAAACGAAGAGUUGAAGUUAUUAUUUCAAGUUUUCACGGAGCAAAUGCAUUUAGAGAUGAAUUAGUACAUGGUUUUAUACUCGUUUAUUCUACAAAAAGAAAAGCAUCACUUGCAACUCUUAACGCAUUUUCUAUGAAUAUACCAAAUUUACCAAUACAAAUAAUGGCUGUGACUGAUACUGGAGGUGCUAAUGCUUUCUUCAGUAAUGAUUUAAGUCAUUUACUUAUCACAGAGGGAAAUGCAAUUGCGGAUAAAUUGCAAGCACAUUUUAUGACUUCGGCAUCUAGUUGCCAACAAAAAACGGCAUUCUAUACACCAUUCUUUAAAGAAGUAUGGGAAAAGAAACCCGAAAUUGAACAGGCAUUUAAUAUGGAAGAACCAGGUAAUCUAAAUGAUAGCGGUGAAGGAACUUUGGAAUAUUCUGCAUUACAUCCUAUGCCACCACCACGUCACGAAAGUUAUCACCUUCAAACACCAGAUGAUGGUAUGUCUGUAACUUUCAGAAGUGGUUCUGAAUCUUAUGAACAAUUAACUCCCGAUGGUGAUCUUGGAGAUACAGGAUUAAACGAGCAGUUUGCAGACAAUAGAGCUACACCUAGUGAUGAUAGUGAUAUUUAUAGCCAAGUAGAUUUUUAUAGAGAAGAAAGAGAAAGAGAUUUGUUAAAACCAGGAGAUAUUACAAACAAAUUAUCUGGAUGGGUGAAAGAUACAUUUAUGCCUCAAGAUGGAGUAACUAAUAGUUACUCUCACAGAGCUUUCACAACAGGUAGAAGACAUAUUUCUCAGGCAAAGCCGCGUCCAAAAGGAAACAGUCAAACUUUAAAACAACCUGGUAAAAUAAAUUUGAAAGAUUUUUCAAAUGUGACGGAUGCUAUAGCUAGAAUGACAGUAGGAGAAAAAGAUGAACAUGGUUCUAAAAUAAGUAUGGGUCAUGCUCCACUUGCUACUCCUGAAUUAGAUCUAGGUUCCGAAUAUGCGCAAGUAAAAGAUGUUGUACAAAGUUUAUAUCCUUAUGAUGGUGAUUAUAUGUAUGCCUCAGUACAAGAUUCUGUCGGAAAUAAUAAGCCCAAGUUACGUCAUAGACGUGAAAAAGGACAACCUUCAUACAGUGAUUCUGAUUCUGAAUGGAGUUCUUUGGAAAGACAAAGAAUUGCUGAUAUUUCAGGUAAAGCAAAUAAAAAACCACCAUCGCAUAAAAGGAUACGAAAAAAACGUACACCUAUAUUUGUUGCGUCACCUAAAGUACCAUCUAGUAUGGGAAGUGGAGAUAGCAUUGGUUUGAAUUAUAAUGUUAAAGAAAUAAAACCGCGAAUAAAUCCCACAGAAAGAGAAUCCAGUGAAACAAAUUCUUCUGAAUCAAGUGAUCCAGAACAUACUUCAAGAUUGAGAGCCAAACAUAAUAAGCAUACUACUGCUGCUAUCUCACGAAGGAAAUUUGGAAAUUCAUUACCACAACAACAUCCAACUUCCAAUAAAGAGAUGUUUAGUGCUUCCUAUGAAUCCAGUUUAGAUGUUUCAUCUCCACGAGAAAUUAAUUCUCCCAGUGUCAAAGAUGGCGAUAAGUUAAAUAGGAAAAAGGAUAAACAAAAAGCAAAAGAAGAUGAGAAGUUAGAAAAGCGUCGUCAAAAAGAAGAAAAGUUAAAAAAACAUGCGGAAAAGGAAAAGGAAAGAGAGAAAAAAAAGCAAGAAAAAACAAAACAAACUAAAGGUCCUAGUUCAACAUUAAGUCUGAGUCAAAUGCAACAACCAUUAAUUGAAGAUUUUGCACAAAGUGAAACAAAUCGAAUACCUCUAUUUCUUGAAAAAUGUGUGCAAUUUAUUGAAGAUGAAGGAUUAGAUUCUGAAGGUAUAUAUAGGGUUCCUGGAAAUAGAGCACACGUUGAACUCCUUUUUCAAAAGUUUGAAGAAGACGGAAAUGUGGACAUACAUUCGUUGGAUAUACCAGUAAAUGCUGUUGCAACUGCUUUGAAAGAUUUCUUCUCAAAAAGGCUACCACCAUUAAUUGAUAAAGAACGAAUGAGCGAACUUGAGGAUAUCUCGGGUGCUCGUGGUAUUAGCAAACCAAUGUCUGCAACAUGUAUGAAUAUGGAAGAUCGAAGCUGCAGAUUAUUAGCAUUACGUUUGAUGCUUAACAAAUUGAAGCCAGUUAAUUUUGAUGUACUUAAAUUUAUUUUUCAUCAUUUUGUAAAAGUGGCUGAAAAUUGUAAGCUGAACAGUAUGGAUAGUAAAAAUUUGGCAAUCUGCUGGUGGCCUACUUUAUUACCAAUAGAAUUUAACGAUCUUGGCAGAUUCGAAGCAAUGAGACCAUACUUGGAAGACGUUGUUCAAACAAUGAUAGAUCAAUAUCCUUUCUUAUUUUGUGGUGAAGAAGCUAUCGUAAUGGUGUAGUGAAAGAUUACAUUAUUUCGAAUCGUACAAUUAGAGCUUGUACGAAUAAUAAGAAAUAAUUUCGUAUUAAUACGAUACGGAUUAUUUCUAUAACGUUUAGUCCUUACGAUCAUGAAUAAUGAUUUAUCUUGCUAUAUUUGUAUAUCAUGACUUCAUCGUAGUGCAUUACUACGAUUAGGAUAAUUUUCAUGACUCGAAAAAGACGAACAAAUUAAUUUAAGUUUACAUACUCGUUCCAUUGCAAAGUGUGACUGACAGAGUGAUAGAUUGAUGGUCCUAAUGAUGGCUAUUUGCAGGCCCGAUAAUAAUGCGAAUAAUAAAAAGUCAAUCCAUGUGUCAUAACAGUAUGCAUGUAUCAUGUUGGAUGUAUUCAGAGCGAUGUAUUUAUUAAUAUGUAAUUAGAGGUAAGUCUUAAUAUUUGAUAAUAGCGAUUAUAGUAGUGAACUCGAUGUUGCUUUUUUUAUCUGAUUUUUUUUUUUAUUUUUCAUUUUGUUCUUACAUUUUUCUAUAGAUAAAAAUUUUUUUAUUGUAUGUAAUGUAUGUCUGAGAAUGAAUGUAUGAGAGAAAGAGAGAGAGAGAUAAAAAAAUAAGAGGGAAAGAUAAAAAGCGAGACAAUGGCGCAAUCUCUUAAAAGAAUAUUUGUAUUCUAAAGCGUGUUAAAGAUAUCAUAAAAUGUAUGAGGUAUACAAUUUCUCUAAUUCAUGUGAUUUUUAUAUAGCAACGAUAUCAAAAAAUUUGAAAUAUCUCUGCAAUUAAUUUUUUCUUGAUUAAUAUUUGUUUUUAGUCUAUCAGAAAAUAUCUUUAAUUUGCAUCUAAUAUAUUUCUGUAUAUUGAUGAAUUUUUUUUCAAAUCAGUAUUUCAGAAUACUUAAUUUGAUUUAAUAAUUUGAUUAAACUUAUUACAGUGAUACAGUGCACAAUAUAUCCAUUCUUAAUUUGAUUUAAUAGAAUUAUUUAAGUUCGUCGGUGAUACAGUGCAUAAUAUAUCCAUUCCGUCUGAAUGAAAAAGAAAAACGAGCAAAAAAGAAAAAAAAAAAAUGAAGAAAUUGAAAAGCGUUACAUGUAUUUGCAAUUUUUUCAAGAUGUGCAGUGAAUAAGCGUUUAUGUCAAGAAGAUUGUAAGGAUAUUGAUAUGGUUCUAAUUAUUAAGGUAAAUCUUGAAGAUUUUCGGAUUAUAACAGAUCUGAUGGAAAUACUAAAUGCUAAGAACAAUACUUAGAUUCUCACAAACAUUUUUCCAAGUUUCAUAAAGCGAACGUGUACAUAAGAUUAUAAGAUUGUAAGCUAUGAAAAGUUUAUAAUGAGAAUCGUGAAAAUCGAUUAUCGAUACUUUCGAGAUUAUUCAGUGGUCGCCAUGACCGUGAGUUUACACAAAUCGCUUUUAUCUUUUUUUAUGCGAUGCAUAAUGUAUUUGAAAAAUAAUUGAAUAAUAGACGAAGGUCCGUGUUUUUAAUCGCGUAUUGUAUUUUGUGUAUCAGCUUUCGUCUGUAUUUAUAAAAGAACAGAAUUCGAAGCAGGAAAUAGUAAAGAAUGAGAGACAAUCUUGCAUGCAGUUUCUGAAGAAUUUGUUAGAAAGAGUGGAAUUGAACGAAAAGAGGGUGUCUUAUCAUUUGAAGGAUCUAUGGGCAAUCUUUAAAAAAAGAGAAAUUGGUACAAAAGAUACUUAAUUUAAUUAGUAACAAUGCUGGAGAAAAAAGAGGAGAAAAAUAACAAGAUUUAAGAAAAACUAACUGAUAGAAAUGAUAGAAAUAAGUGUCAAGUGGCAUGAAAGAUGUCAGAGAAAAAAUCCAAGCCACGAAUGUGAGAACAGAAUUUCAUAUUUAUUCAUUCAAUUUUUAUCUGUCAAUAUGGAUUAUUUCAAUUUUAAUAGAUGAAUACAUUCAAGGGAAGGGAAACACAAAUUAGAUUUAGAUCUUGGAUGAUAUCAAUUAAUCUCUGUUCACAAGAAUUUAAAAAGAAAAAAAACAUACGAGGAAUAACGAGAGGCAUUCAAUAUAUAUAAACUAAUAAACAAGUAAAAAUUUUAUAUUUGGAGAUUAGCCUUCGGGAAAUUGUUCUUAUUAGGCAAUAGACGAGCAGAUACUGAAAAUUGAAGAUAAUAGCAGAACUCAUCUCUUUUAUGAAGAAUAAUCCACGCGAUAAACCAAAUCAUUACCUCUCGACAUUUCCAUCGAAUUCAAUCUUCCCUUUUCUUCUAAUAUUUUUAUUAUAUUUAACAAGAAGUGGUUGAAAUCUGAUUCAGGAAAUUCGAAUCCAAAACUGCGAAAUUUCGAAACAGUUUCUUCUUUUUUAAUUAAUUGCUUUUAAAUUGAAUUUUAAUAAAUUUUAAUUUCUGAAAUUUUUCAAAUUCGCAAUUAAUCAACGGCAAUAGUAAUCAAUAAACAUUCCAUCAGAAGAUAAAUUUAAUUCAUUUGUCGAUUUCCUACGAUUGCCACGAGUGGAUAAAAGCACGAUACGUUAGGCCGAGAAAGGGAAUUGUUGUUUCUUUCAAGAGGAAACUUGAAAUCCGAUUAAAAGCUUGGAAGGAGUGGGAGGAAUGGAUGGCAAACUUUCAACGUACUAUCCGACAACAUUUGCUUGCUCCGCCAUCGAGGCUUCGAUUCUUGAUCUGGGAGGAUGAACAGAAAUUAAGAAGAUGGAAUUAACUGGAAUGGCAGCCGAAAUUGUUCGCUUCGAUCAUUUUUUGGUUGAAAACGGGCCAAGGGGUCGACGUAAACGAUGGACAAAACUUUAUUUACCGGGACGAGGAUCCGACUCUUCGAUGAUCUCGUCGACGAAACUUUCCCUAUAAAUCAAAUGGGGAGGAUAAUAAUAAAAAAAAAAGGAAAAAUAUACA